AGCGAACGCUGGCGGCAGGCCUAACACAUGCAAGUCGAGCGGCCGUAGCAAUACGGCAGCGGCAGACGGGAGAGUAACACGUGGGAACGCGCCCUUCGGUUCGGGAUAACCCAGGGAAACUUGGGCUAAUACCGGAUACGCCCUUACGGGGAAAGAUUUAUUGCCGAAGGAACGGCCCGCGUCCGAUUAGCUAGUUGGUGAGGUAAUGGCUCACCAAGGCGACGAUCGGUAGCUGGUCUGAGAGGAUGACCAGCCUCACUGGGACUGAGACACGGCCCAGACUCCUACGGGAGGCAGCAGUGGGGAAUAUUGGACAAUGGGCGCAAGCCUGAUCCAGCCAUGCCGCGUGGGUGAUGAAGGCCCUAGGGUUGUAAAGCCCUUUCAGCGGGGAAGAUAAAGACGGUACCCGCAGAAGAAGCCCCGGCUAACUUCGUGCCAGCAGCCGCCGCCG
rnacentral:rRNA from 1 species